GAUGAACGCUGGCGGCGUGCCUAAUACAUGCAAGUCGAGCGAACAGACGAGGAGCUUGCUCCUCUGACGUUAGCGGCGGACGGGUGAGUAACACGUGGAUAACCUACCUAUAAGACUGGGAUAACUUCGGGAAACCGGAGCUAAUACCGGAUAAUAUAUUGAACCGCAUGGUUCAAUAGUGAAAGACGGUUUUGCUGUCACUUAUAGAUGGAUCCGCGCCGCAUUAGCUAGUUGGUAAGGUAGCGGCUUACCAAGGCGACGAUGCGUAGCCGACCUGAGAGGGUGAUCGGCCACACUGGAACUGAGACACGGUCCAGACUCCUACGGGAGGCAGCAGUAGGGAAUCUUCCGCAAUGGGCGAAGGCCUGACGGAGCAACGCCGCGUGAGUGAUGAAGGUCUUCGGAUCGUAAAACUCUGUUAUUAGGGAAGAACAAAUGUGUAAGUAACUAUGCACGUCUUGACGGUACCUAAUCAGAAAGCCACGGCUAACUACGUG
rnacentral:rRNA from 1 species